UACAGGGGGUGCAAACGUUGCUCGGAAUUAUUGGGCGUAAAGCGCGCGUAGGCGGUGACUCAAGUCGGAUGUGAAAGCCCUUGGCUUAACCGAGGAAGUGCAUCCGAAACUGAGUCGCUAGAGUACGAAAGAGGGUCGCGGAAUUCCCGGUGUAGAGGUGAAAUUCGUAGAUAUCGGGAGGAACACCGGUGGCGAAGGCGGCGACCUGGGCCGAUACUGACGCUGAGGAGCGAAAGCGUGGGGAGCGAACAGG
rnacentral:rRNA from 1 species